AAAAAAACGUUCUGCUUUUCUUUAAUAAGUGAAUGUUAUUUAGGAUAAGUGUGUAAUCAGAGCCGGCCCUGGCACGGCCACAAUAUAUUAAGUAUAUAACCGGUCACAAAUUUACAAAAAGUGUCAAUGAUUUAGUAGUUAGUUGAUCAGUAUAGGGACGUGAGUGGCUGGGUUCAAAACCCUUCAUGCGCAUAAUUUAUUUUUCAAUUUUUCAGCUAUUUUUUGUUUUAUUUUGGGUUUGUGGAUCUUGAAAAGUCUAGGACCGGCUCUGUGUGUAAUGUCAUUAUACACUCUUUUUUCUUGGCAACGCGUAAUGUAAUAAUGUAUACAGUUAUUGAUUUGUAUAUAUACUUUUAAUUUCAUUGUCUUGUUAUCUCUUUACGGCAUAAUAGUAGAGAAGUGGUCAUUGGCUGGACAGCACCAAAGUCUCAAAAUCUUGAUAGGUCUUCUUAGUGGCAAUGCUAAGACGCAUUAAAUAGUAUUUUCAUUUUUAGUAGCCUCUCACCAUUUUUGUUUUGUACUCAUAUAUGUUUCUGUAUUCGUGCAUUAAAAUAAUCAUGAUUUGUUUUCAACUUUCUAGAAGUGAGAUCUCAUCGGAAAAUAUUUGGGUUCUUAAUAAAUGCAUAUAUUGGAAUGAUAAAUUUACGCAUUACGUACGUGAUGUCAAAAAGAACAAUGAGUGUAAGGUAAUCAAUAUAUUGGAAUGCAUAUAUUUGGGUUCUUAAUCAAUAUAUUUGGGUUCUUAAUAAAUGCAUAUAUUGGAAUGAUAAAUUUACGCAUUACGUACGUGAUGUCAAAAAGAACAAUGAGUGUAAGGUAAUCAUACAAUAACUAAUGGGGAUAAGCUGAUCAGAGAGACCCUCCACAUCGACGUAUAAAAUCAGCCAAUGGGGUAGGUUUAUUUGUCCACGUCACACAGACUAGACCUGAUCUUGGGCUUCUAUUUUUUAUUGAUCCGUAAAACCCAUCCUCAUGUGUAGCCCAAUAUCAGCGUCUUCUCAACGCUUCGCUUGCCAAUCCUAAAAUGGUGCGGCGAUUAUUAUCUUCGACGACUCCCCUCUUCGCCGUUUCUCCUUUCUCCGUGGAUCGAUCAAUCGGCACCAUAUUCAUGAGUGUGCAAUGAAUCCUCUGGAGAACUCAUUAAUGUGUUAUUUCGCCUAUCCCCCUUCCAAUUUCUAUAUAACCUUCGUAUUUUCUCCAGAUUAGUUACACACACAAAUAUCUCGAACCAUGAAUUCCAACAGCCAAACACCUGUUACCGGCGAUGUUCCCGCGACGAAACCAUACGGAAAAGACAUUGUAUCCUCCGCCGAGCCGAUCAAACGAGUCGAUCAAACUGGAGUCUCUCUCGAUACAGCUGCCUUCGGCGAUUUCCAAGUAUAAGAAGCAGGACGGCAACGCCGUUGUCUCCUCCGCUUUUCCGGCCAAAUAUGCCGGUAAACCCAAAGAUUCUCUCGCUACAGCUAUCUCCGGCGAUUCGAAGUCCAAGAAAUCAAACGGCAAGGCAGUUGUCUCCUCCGCCGAUCCGGUCAAAUAACCCCGUCAACACGGAGUCUCUCUCGCUAACGCUGUCUCCGGCGAUCCAGCUUCCAAGAAACUAAACGGCAAAGCUGUCGUCUCCGCCUCUGAUAAAGUACUAUUCUUCAAAGAUCUCAAGUUCUGGCCACAAGAAGGCGAGCUAAGAUUUCGUCUGAUACAUUUUUGGGAGGCUCGGAACGCACUCACGAAGGUCCUUUUUGGUCUUGAAUUGCUUCUGAUCGACGGACAGGUCUAGUCCGAUAUUUAUGAUUUUGUAUUCGUAUUGCUUGUUCGAUCAAAUACUAACAUAUGUUUCUUUUUUUUUUUUGUUAUCAACAGGGCACUGUGAUCCAAGGGUUCAUCCCACCAAACAGGAUCGAGGCCUAUUUGCCACAUAUGUUCGCUGGUUCCGUCUACAGGCUUAAUAACUUUUAUGGCUCCAAAAGAAAGAAUGUGUACCGAGUUGCUGAGCCAGACGUGAUCAUUUCUUUCACAUGGAAUUCUGUGCUCUCCGUUCUCUUGAACAGUCCGGUCCCGUUUUCUGAAGAUCGGUUCCGAUUCUAUGGUUACGAGGAGUUCGAGGCAGCCUGUGAUCUCAAGGGAGAUCUUUAUGGUAAGCUUCUCUCGGAAUUAGCCGGUUUAUUACUUGAUAGGUUUGUAAUACGGGUCCUUUAGUCGUCUAGGUUAGGUGUGUUAGUAUGAUAUACAGUAAUACAUAUUGUUUAAUCUUAUUGCAGACUAUGUCGGUCACUUGAAACUGGUGAAUGAGCAGGCCUUGAGUGAUAGUCUUGUGCUUGAUGAAGUCGAGAUCGCUUCUUCAAGAAGAAUUUUGGUCCAUGUCCAGACACAUGAGUGAAUUCUCUAUAGUGUUUAUGACAUAUAUGCGUAUACGUGUUUUGCUUACCACAUGAGUUUGGUUUUAUGCAGUGGUCCUGUCAUGAAGCUGUACUUAUGGGACAAGGCCGCUGCGGCCUUCUGUGAGAAGUUUAAAGCGCUUGGAAAACCUCCAACUGUUAUUCUGGUGACAACUGUGAAUCCAAAACGUUUUGGAGGUUAGUAUUACCUAGACUUGGUUAUGGUUUAUUGUUGUUAGUAGGCUGAGUGGGAGACAUUGGUUAUUUGCUAAUUUGAUUUUGUUUGGUAUGUACAUUGGUCAUAUUGCAGGUGCCUUAACUCUGUCAUCUUUUUCAUCUUCGCGUGUGUUUUUUGAUAUGGAUGUUCAAGCAACCAGAGAAUAUCUGGCUUGGUUUGAAUCGAACACAGAAGUUGCCAACAGGGUGAAUGCUGAGAUUGUCACCAAAGCUGAGACGGCUACUAUAGGGGAAUUGUUAUCUUACAUGAAGCAGGAAGGGGCAAAGGUAGCUUGGUUCGAAUGCACAGCCACUAUUGAUGAUGUUGUGCGUGAUUCGGCGUGGUAUUAUAUUUAUUGUGGUGGGUGCAAGACUAAAGCAACCAAAGGGCCUACCACGCUUAUGUGUAAGAAGUGUGGAAAGACUGAUAUUGUCGGUGCUGCGGAGUAAGAUUUGUAUUCAUACGUUUUUUUUUGUCAGAUGCACUUUUAACAUCCAUUAUUAAUGUUCCUAUAUCAUAGGUAUCUCACGAAGCUCGCUGUCUAUGACAACAAUGACCACGCUAGCUUUGUGCUUCUCGGUGAUGCUGGGCGUGAGUUGACUGGGAUGAAAGCCUCAGAAUUGGUUGAGAGCUACUUUGAGGUAAUUACAUACCGAUUCACCAUUUAGGUUUAGAAUGUGUUCUUACCCAUGUUUGAAUUUGUAUUAGGCAAAUGAAAGCGUCGGAGAUGAUCAUGUAGUCCCGGUGCCACAUUCUCUGACUGAUUCCAUUGGACAGACCCGCACGUUCAUUAUCAAGGUGUCAAAACACAACCUGGAUGGCAAGACCCAGUCUUUGACUGUCACCAAAGUUCUUCCUCUGGAAGUUCCGGCACUUGAAGGCAACAUAGAUGAGGACGUGGAAGAGGAGCCUGCAGAUGAUAAUGAUGGAGGUGCAGAUGUGACUGUGAAAAAGAACUUUGAUGGGAUCGAGUCUGGAGAGACCAAGCGUGCCAAAUGUGGCUAAUAAACUUUUAGUACUGUUUCUUUGUUUUCAUAAAGACUACUUUGUUUUUUUCAUCUUCGGCCUUUGCUUUUGUGUCAUUUGAACAAUCUUGGUGUUUAAUUAAGACUAUGCUUUGUUUUCUUCCUUUUUGCUUAAUACUUAAUUAAGAAGGUGUUGAAUGAUAUGAGUAAAGGAUAUAAUUGGUUGAUUAGAAGUCGUUAAUUGAUACUUUUGAAUGCAUGUAUUAUAUAUUCACGCAUGCAUGCAUGUAUUACUUAAUAUAUUAACAUAUACGUUAUCAAGAAAGUGUUGAUCUAAAAAAAUUAUCUUCUAAAAUAUUAAUAUUUCUGUUUUAUUCGAACAUGUUUUAGUUUCAAAUAUUUAUAGUUCCUACGAAGGUAAUGUUAUAUUUUUAUAUCAUAAACAUAUAUGGCAUUAGAAAAUCAAUCUCCAAUCUCACAUUUAAUAAAGAUAUUCGCUACCAUGCUUUUUAGGAAAUCUGCAACAAUACGUUUAAUAUAUAGCCGUUUGUUUAGAAAGAAGCAAUGCUCACCUCCUAUAAUUAAUUACACAGACAUUCAAAGCACCUCUCUCAAAUCAAGAGCUACUCUCUCCCUUUCUCCACUGCUCACCAGAUAGGUACUCUGUUCUUAUUCUUCCUCAGCUAAUAUAAUAUUUAUAUUCGUUAAGUAUACCUCAUUCUUCGUAGUACAUAUGGAUCAUUUGUUUUGUGCGAUGUAAAAGACCAUUCUCAAAUUGUAGUAUGAUGCCAAACCGUAAAGGAUGUUAGGGAUGUUCCAAACCAAACCGUUUUCCUUAAUUUUAUAUAUGUAAUGUACUGGAAAAUAUUAGAACCAUUUAGUAUCCUAGAGUUUGAUGCCUUAUUUGUUUGAUAAUUGUUUUAGAACCAUUUAAUACCCAAAUGGUUGAACUGAUAAUAUAAAAAUUAUUCCACAUACGAGUAUUGUGUUUGUUUUCAGCCGAGCGAGGAGUUGGCAAUGUCGCCAAAAUUGGUUCGUAUAUGUCGUAUGUGGCAAAUUUUUAAUCACAAAAAUAAAAAUGAGUAUCUUGGUACUUCAUUCCUUUGUAUUGACAUCAAGGUAUGUGGUAUCUUAAUUAUUUAUCAUAAUAUAAAUAGAGAAUAAAUACAAUUAUUAACAUAAUGAAAAUAGGGGGAGACAUACGAAGGCAGGAUUGGUAGCAGACUUCCAGUAGAAACAACUCAGAUCCUGAAAGAGAAUAAGAUAUAUCAAAUUCAGUAUUUCUCCCUCUUACAAAAUAAUCAACGGUACAAGCUCACUAUUCAGCCAUACAUUAUUCAAAUCAAAGCUUCGACAAAGAUUGAACGAGUAGAAGAAGAAAUCCCGAUGAUGCGUCAUAGCACUUUCCAUCCUCUCCUAUACAAACAAUUGAUCAACUUAGCGACUGCCACAAACUACUUACCAGGUAAACGUCAACGUUAUUUUUUUUUAUUAAUAAGUAUAACUCUAAUUUCAAUACAAACAUCAUUGCAGAUGUGGUUGGGCAAAUAUUAUUGAUUCAAGGUACCAAUAUCAAAAAUCCAGUUGCAACAACAAAGGUCGUAAUUGCCCUAC